UACGGAGGGGGCUAGCGUUGUUCGGAAUUACUGGGCGUAAAGCGCGCGUAGGCGGACCUGCAAGUCGGGGGGUGAAAGCCCGAGGCUCAACCUCGGAACUGCCUUCGAUACUGCGGGUCUCGAGUCCGGGAGAGGUGAGUGGAAUUCCUAGUGUAGAGGUGAAAUUCGUAGAUAUUCGCAAGAACACCAGUGGCGAAGGCGGCUCACUGGCCCGGUACUGACGCUGAGGUGCGAAAGCGUGGGGAGCAAACAGGG
rnacentral:rRNA from 1 species